UAUAAAAUCUCAUACAACUGAAUUAGUACCUACCUAUCUAUUUUUGUUUUAAAAUAUUUACCUUUUCUUCAUGUUUUUGGAGGCCCUUUAUUUGUAAUGGUGAGGGGCCUUACAUGCCUCAAAUGCCUCAUCCAUGAACUAGCUCUGAUAUCAUUUUGACAUUUAAACUGCAAAACAUUUAAUAGCAGUAAUUUCCUAUUCGUCUUUCUAUAAAAUGUUAACAAUUCUUCCUGAGUAUAAAUAAGACCUGUGAGAUAAAAAAUCUUAACAGAACACUGCAGUUGUUCAUUCAGAGAUUAAAACUUAUCAACAUCAAGAUGAAGUAUUUUUACUUUCUUGCUAUUGUGAUCGUUUUGGUGAGCAUUGUUGCCCAGGUGAAGGCAGAUUGUUGUAAUUCAGUUUACUUCCAUGGAGAAUACAAGUGUCGCGAUGGUCCUUUGACCGAAGGAUCUUGUUGUGGAAAGGGUCCAUGUAAUAUAUUCUGUUGUGAUUGUACAGGUGGUUGUAGAUAGUUUUAAUAAAUUACCUGGAGUUGAAUGUAAUAAAAAACAUAAUAAAUAAAUGUACAAAUAAUAAUAAAAGCUGAA